rnacentral:rRNA from 1 species
ACCCCUGUGACAUACCUAUCGUUGCUUCGGCGGGAUGCCCCAGUUUUGACUUAAAACUGGACCCAGGCGCCCGCCGGAGGACCCAAACUCUUGUUUUUAUAUGUAUCUUCUGAGUAAACAAGCAAAUAAAUUAAAACUUUCAACAACGGAUCUCUUGGUUCUGGCAUCGAUGAAGAACGCAGCGAAAUGCGAUAAGUAAUGUGAAUUGCAGAAUUCCGUGAAUCAUCGAAUCUUUGAACGCACAUUGCGCCCGCCAGUAUUCUGGCGGGCAUGCCUGUUCGAGCGUCAUUUCAACCCUCAAGCCCCCGGGCUUGGUGUUGGGGCUCGGCCCGUCCCUAGCGGAUGCGCCGUCCCCGAAAUCUAGUGGCGGUCUCGCUGUAGCCUCCUCUGCGUAGUAGCUAACACCUCGCAAUGGGAACGCAGCGCGGCCACGCCGUUAAACCCCCCACUUCUGAAGGUUGACCUCGGAUCAGGUAGGAAUACCCGCUGAACUUAAGCAUAUCAAUAAGCGGAGGA